UACGGAGGGUGCAAGCGUUAUCCGGAUUCACUGGGUUUAAAGGGUGCGUAGGUGGAUUGGUAAGUCAGUGGUGAAAUCUCCGGGCUUAACCCGGAAACUGCCAUUGAUACUAUCAGUCUUGAAUACCGUGGAGGUCAGUAGAAUAUGUCAUGUAGCGGUGAAAUGCUUAGAUAUGACAUAGAAUACCAAUUGCGAAGGCAGCUGGCUACACGAAUAUUGACACUCAGGCACGAAAGCGUGGGGAUCAAACGGG
rnacentral:rRNA from 1 species